GUGAUUAAAUCGAGCGUGUCUUCAUUGACCGCUCACCCUUCUCACCAUCCACAUACACCUGUGCACUGUUCAGCCUGAGCCGGUUUUCCGGUCCAGAUUAUCAUUUCAUACAAACUCUAUUCUUAUGAAUGUAAACGUUUUAAUAACAUAAUA
rnacentral:misc_RNA from 1 species